UACGUAGGGGGCUAGCGUUGUCCGGAAUCAUUGGGCGUAAAGAGCGCGUAGGCGGCCAGACAAGUCCGGUGUGAAAGUCACAGGCUCAACCUGUGAAUGCCGCUGGAAACUGUCUGGCUAGAGUCCGGAAGGGGCGAGUGGAAGUUCCCGGUGUAGCGGUGAAAUGCGCAGAUAUCGGGAAGAACACCCGUGGCGAAGGCGGUUCUCUGGGACGGUACUGACGCUGAGACGCGAAAGCGUGGGGAGCGAACAGG
rnacentral:rRNA from 1 species